rnacentral:rRNA from 1 species
GAUGAACGCUGGCGGCGUGCCUAAUACAUGCAAGUCGAGCGAACAGACGAGGAGCUUGCUCCUCUGACGUUAGCGGCGGACGGGUGAGUAACACGUGGAUAACCUACCUAUAAGACUGGGAUAACUUCGGGAAACCGGAGCUAAUACCGGAUAAUAUAUUGGACCGCAUGGUUCAAUAGUGAAAGACGGUUUUGCUGUCACUUAUAGAUGGAUCCGCGCCGCAUUAGCUAGUUGGUAAGGUAACGGCUUACCAAGGCAGCGAUGCGUAGCCGACCUGAGAGGGUGAUCGGCCACACUGGAACUGAGACACGGUCCAGACUCCCACGGGAGGCAGCAGUAGGGAAUCUUCCGCAAUGGGCGAAAGCUUGACGGAGCAACGCCGCGUGAGUGAUGAAGGUCUUCGGAUCGUAAAACUCUGUUAUUAGGGAAGAACAAAUGUGUAAGUAACUAUGCACGUCUUGACGGUACCUAAUCAGAAAGCCACGGCUAACUACGUG